rnacentral:tRNA from 1 species
GCCGUGCAUGGCGAGCACCGCGUCCCGGCCCUCGGGUGUCCGGAACGGCACGUUCCAGUCGGGGUACGGGA